GCGCGGGGCCCGGCGGGGGAGGGGCUCACCUUUCUGGCCGCUGAGCGCCGCGUACCAGGAGAGCGAGAGGAAGGCGCACAGGCAGAAGAGCAGCAGCGUCAGGAAGGUGCCAUUGCGGAGCCUCAUCUCCUCGGGUUUUAUUUAUUGGAGAGAGCGAGACAGAUAGUGAGAGAGGGCAAGAGCAGGGAGGAGAGGGAGAAGAAGGCUUCACCGGCAGCAGGAAGCUCCACUCAGGACUCCAUCCCAGGACUCUGGGAUCAUGACCCAAGAGGAAGGCCGUUGCCCAACCAACUCAGCCACCCAGAUUUUUAUUUGACAGAUAGAGAUCACAAGUAGGCAGAGAGGCAGGCAGAGAGAAGAGGAAGCCGGCUCCUGACUGAGCAGAGAGGACUCUGGGAUCAUGACCUUAGCAGAAGGCAGAGGCUUUAACCCACUGAGCUACCCAGGCGCCCCUGUUGGAAUCUUCUGAAGGAAACUGUGUUCCUGUGUUUUUACAGGGCAUCUACUGGUUGUGGCAAGGGAUAAUGGUUUUUCAUCUGGACUGUGAUACAGGGGUUUUAACAUUUUUCUAAAUGUCUAUUUAAGUUUAAAAGCGGGUUGAUUUAAGGAAAAUUAUUAAAUCAAUAAAAAUUAAAGAGAU